AAAAAGGUAAGCUAAUUAAGCUAAUGGGUUCAUACCCCAUUUAUAGAGGUCAACAACCCUCUCCUUUUUA
rnacentral:tRNA from 1 species